rnacentral:rRNA from 1 species
GAUGAACGCUGGCGGCGUGCCUAAUACAUGCAAGUCGAGCGAACGGACGAGAAGCUUGCUUCUCUGAUGUUAGCGGCGGACGGGUGAGUAACACGUGGAUAACCUACCUAUAAGACUGGGAUAACUUCGGGAAACCGGAGCUAAUACCGGAUAAUAUUUUGAACCGCAUGGUUCAAAAGUGAAAGACGGUCUUGCUGUCACUUAUAGAUGGAUCCGCGCUGCAUUAGCUAGUUGGUAAGGUAACGGCUUACCAAGGCAACGAUGCAUAGCCGACCUGCGAGAGUGGUCGGCCACACUGGAACGGAGACACGGACCAGACUCCUACGAGAGGCAGCAGUAGGGAAUCUUCCGCAAUGGGCGAAAGCCUGACGGAGCAACGCCGCGUGAGUGAUGAAGGUCUUCGGAUCGUAAAACUCUGUUAUUAGGGAAGAACAUAUGUGUAAGUAACUGUGCACAUCUUGACGGUACCUAAUCAGAAUGCCACGGCUAACUACGUG